AACACUGUAAAUUUGGUAUGUUUAUUUUGUAGCCUGCCAAUUAUUUGGAAAGGCCAUUAUUUCACCCAGUCUUCAGUUAGCAGUUUCCAACUACACAGUCACAUCCGCUGCAAAUACUAAUCAUUUUUCUCCCGCUUCACAUAUAAUAUAUACAUACAUAUACACACACGUAUAUUUAUUUUUAACAGAGGCACAACUUCAGUAUUUUUACAUCUUAUUUCCUUCUCUUGUCUAAUUGCAUUGACCAGACUUCCCAAAACCGCCCUUCCCUUGCCCUAACUUUAACCGAAACGCUUGGCUUGCUAUAAGCUUACUGCAGGAGGAGGCUUUGAGAAGGUUUGGUUGUCGUUGUUGUUUAUGGGAUUUUUUUUUUUUUUUAACUGUAAAGGGAAUCUCUGAAAAAAAAAAUGCAUUUGAAGAGCGUAUUAGAAGAGCCCAGAUUGGCCUGCGCGCUUGCAAGGAGCUCUUGGGCCCCCUCCCCGCGGUGCCAACCCUCUGCCCCGGGGGCUGAAGUUUCUCUCUGCGUUUCCGCUUGAACUGCGUCCAGCUGCCUCGCCUUUAAAAUGCCAGGGCGGCCGCGGCUCCGCUCAGAGCCCCCCUCGGCUGCUGGCCUGGGCUCGCCCGCGCCGCCGGGGCGCUGACAGCCGCAGCCCGGCCGCUCCCGCGGAGCGGGGCCUCGGCAGCGCCCCUCGCGCCCCGCGAGCCCGCACCCCAGAGACGGGAAACGCCGCAGCCAGCGACCCGCGGUCGCCCUUGGCUCGGGGCCGGCCCAACCAGGACCCCGGGAGCGCCCCGGACGGGCCUCGCCAGUCACAGUCCAGCGCCCCCGCCAGCCAGCACAGAGCCUGCUCUCAGUGAAAGGCCACUGCUAUCCUUGGGCAUCCCCCACUAUGCCUGACUGCUCCCCGUGCCUCCUGGAACAGCCAGGGUCCUUAUGAAGUGGUGACCACUCCAGUCAGCAGGUCAGUGUCCCCGAGACUGGUGAGGGCUGAGACAAGGUCUAAGAGAGGGGAAGGCGUGGUUGACUUUGGUUCCAGAAAUUCCCCAGCCAGUGGUCCCUAAGCUUGCACCGACAAGUAUCUUCCUGAAGCUCCAGGCUGGGUGAGGAAGAUGGAGCCCCCCUAGAGGAGGUAGAGACAUCUAGAGACCUAGGAUGUGGGACGUAGGACCUUGGGUACGUCAUUUCCUUGCUAGAGACUCUGGUUAUCUACAAGGCUUCAGGCUGUGACCAUGUGAGUCCAUAUGUGCCCAUCCCCCUCCCCUCCUCCAGGGUGGUCUGAGCAGCAAGCUCUGGCUGCAGGGUAGCAGAUGAGAGGGAGCAGAGGUUGGCGCCCUG
rnacentral:lncRNA from 13 species